GAUAUUCACAUCUGUAGCUCAUAUACUAAAAUUGGAAUGAUACAGGUAUUAGCAUGGCUCCUGUGCACAGAUGAAAUGCAAAUUUGUGAAGUGUUUUGUAAUGUG